rnacentral:lncRNA from 1 species
CCUGCGCCUCCUCCGCCGCCUGCUCCUGCGGGAAGGGCCUCCGCCGCGGCGCGCCUCUCGCCUCUGCUUCUCCUUCCCUCCUCUCCGCGCGCCCCUCCAGAAUGUUCAUCCGUAAUCUACAUAACUCCUCCUUCCCGGGGUCUGCCCGACUCCCGGGUGCUCGGCGCGCGCGCGGACACGCGCACACACAUAUGCACGCGCACACACAUAUGCACACGCACACACACACACACACACACACGUCUGCAAACGAGCACACACACAACCCGACCUGCGCGCGCUUCUUAAAGGAGACGGCUCGUAAAGGGGAAUCGCGCUCUGGAAGCAGCCAGCGCGCGCGAGGGGCCCUGGAUGAGGACCGCGUCUGUGACACACCGCCCACCCUCAUCCCCGAGGCGGGCACCCGGGAACCUGGGCGGCUCCAUCCUUUCGUCUCGCCCUCCCCGCGCCGUGUACCUAGAAACAAGUGCGCCCCUCCCCUGCCCGGCACUGGGUGGGGCGCAGGCUGUGGACCCCCGUGUGGGCCGGGCCUGGUCCUGGAGACCGACCGGCGUCCUCAGUCGAGCCGCCCUGCAAGGCCAGGGGGCUCUGGGAAUCGGGGGGAGCGCCGGGGUCAUUGUGCUCUGCUUGGGGACUCCGGUCGGUCGGCCGGCUGGCCAAGUUUGGGAAGCCUGAGAUGGCAAGUCCCAAGCGUCCGAAACUUUGUUGGGGUCCACCAGCCGAGCCCGCGGCCUCCUGUCUCCCUGAACCCCGCCUCCGCCUUCCGGGCUCCGGCAGUAGGCACAGGGUUUGGCGGGGUCGGUUCUAGUCCAAUAAGGAAGAUGCUCUGUCCCGGGGACGCACGUACCUAUUGGGACCCAGGAGACGUGGUCCUGGUGUGAACAAAACAUCAGGCCAGACCAGCAGAGGGGAAGAGGAGCCCGCGGGAAGAACCGCAGGCGAGACGGAGAAUGAGGGCCAUUCAGGGUGUGACAGCCGCCUCGGCGAGGCUUAGAGGGACUCACCAGGGAGAUGCGCAGGUCAGCUGGUCGAGCAAAAGUAGGCCUGCAAGACGUCGUGAUGUGAUGGCAGGGGACGACGCAAUGCCUGCUUGAGGAGAUGCAGUGAGGGACCUCGGGGUGCUGUGUCACACACCAGGAUGUGCAGGAGCUCAGAGUCUGAGUCUGCUCUUCUCUCACUCUGCCAUCACCCUCAGAGAGAUUCUUCACUUCUAAGUUUUCUCUAUGACUUUUCCCCUGGUGAUCUUCAGAUCUCCAGUCUUAAGCUCAGUCCCAUGGUCUAGAAUUCAUGUCAUCACUUUCACCUAAAACUCGGCAUGUCUCCAACCAUUUCAUCACCUUUUCCUUAGGUGGUGUAUCCCUUAGUUCCCACCUUUCAAUCUGGACCACUUUUCCAUUAAAC